rnacentral:rRNA from 1 species
UCAAGUGAAUAAGUGCAUCAGGUGGAUGCCUUGGCGAUGAUAGGCGACGAAGGACGUGUAAGCCUGCGAAAAGCGUGGGGGAGCUGGCAAUAAAGCUAUGAUCCCGCGAUGUCCGAAUGGGGAAACCCACCUCUUAGGAGGUAUCCUUAUCUGAAUACAUAGGAUAAGCGAAGCGAACCCGGAGAACUGAACCAUCUAAGUACCCGGAGGAAAAGAAAUCAACCGAGAUUCCGCAAGUAGUGGCGAGCGAACGCGGAAGAGGCCAAACCGAGGGAUUUAUUCCUCGGGGUUGCGGACAGUCAUUUAGCGGAAGUUAUCUAGGAGAAGGGUCUGGGAAGGCCCGCCACAGAGGGUGAGAGCCCCGUAUCCGAAAGAGAAGGCCGUGCGACUGAAUCCAGAGUACCGCGGGACACGUGAAACCCCGUGGGAAACAGGGGGGACCACCCUCCAAGCCUAAAUACUACCUGAUGACCGAUAGAGGAGCAGUACCGUGAGGGAAAGGUGAAAAGGACCCCGGGAGGGGAGUGAAAGAGAACCUGAAACCUUGUGCUUACAAGCACUCAAAGCCCGUUAAAGGGUGAUGAGGUACCUUUUGUAGAAUGGUCCGGCGAGUUAUUGUUACUGGCAAGCUUAAGGCAUUCAGUGCCGGAGGCGCAGGGAGACCGAGUCUGAAUAGGGCGUAUGAAGUCAGUGGCAAUAGACCCGAAACCGGGUGACCUAUCCAUGGGCAGGUUGAAGUGGGGGUAAAACCCCAUGGAGGACCGAACCGACCCCCGUUGCAAUGGUGGCGGAUGACCUGUGGAUAGCGGAGAAAUUCUAAUCGAACUUGGAGAUAGCUGGUUCUCCCCGAAAUAGCUUUAGGGCUAGCGUUGAUUUAGAUUACCGGAGGUAAAGCACUGAAUGGGCUAGGGGCUGAUAAAGUUACUGAACCCUAUCAAACUAAGAAUGCCGGCAAAUUGAUGAUCAGCAGUCAGACUACGUGAGAUAAGUCUCGUGGUCAAAAGGGAAACAGCCCAGACCCACAGCUAAGGUCCCAAAUAUACGCUAAGUGGAAAACGAUGUGGAAUUGCGAAAACAACCAGGAUGUUGGCUUAGAAGCAGCCACUCAUUAAAAGAGUGCGUAAUAGCUCACUGGUCGAGUGACUCUGCGCCGAAAAUUUAACGGGGCUAAACUAUACACCGAAGCUUGGGAUACAUCUAAUGUAUGGUAGGAGAGCGUUCUGUAUGGGGUGAAGUCGUAGCGAAAGCGGCGGUGGACUUUACAGAAGUGAGAAUGCCGGAAUAAGUAGCGAGAAUUAAGUGAGAAUCUUAAUGGCCGAAAGUCUAAGGUUUUUGGAGGAAGGUUCGUCCGCUCCAAGUAAGUCGGGAGCUAAGGUCAGGCCGAAAGGCGUAGCCGAUGCACAUACGGUUGAUAUUCCGUAACCAUCUGUAAUUUAAGCAAAGGGACACUUCAAAAGGGUGUGACCCGGGCGUUGGUUGACCCGGGCGUAAGGGACCGAAAUUAGAGUAGGGAAGCACACUUGGCUGAAGGCGAGAAAAGCUUUGCGUAUAGAAACAGAUGCCCGUACCGCAAACCGACACAGGUGGACAGGAAGAGAAUUCUAAGGCCAGCGGGAGAAGGGUAGUUAAGGAACUCGGCAAAUUGACUCCGUAACUUCGGAAUAAGGAGUGCUCGAAAGAGCCGCAGAGAAUAGGCCCAGGCGACUGUUUAGCAAAAACACAGGUCUCUGCCAAAUCGAAAGAUGAAGUAUAGGGGCUGACACCUGCCCGGUGCCGGAAGGUUAAGAGGAGGAGUGAGAGCUCCGAAUUGAAGCCCCGGUAAACGGCGGCCGUAACUAUAACGGUCCUAAGGUAGCGAAAUUCCUUGUCGGGUAAGUUCCGACCCGCACGAAUGGUGUAACGAUCUGGGCACUGUCUCAACUACCCACCCGGCGAAAUUGUAGUACCGGUGAAGAUGCCGGUUACCUGCGGCAAGACGGAAAGACCCCAUGGAGCUUUACUGUAGCCUGAUAUUGGGUUUCGGAAAUCUAUGUACAGGAUAGGCGGGAGACUGGGAAACAUGAGCGUCAGCUUAUGUGGAGUCGAUGUUGGGAUACCGCCCUUAGGUUUCUGGAAUUCUAACCUGCGGCCGUGAAUCCGGUCGGGGGACAUUGUCAGGUGGGCAGUUUGACUGGGGCGGUCGCCUCCGAAAAGGUAACGGAGGCGCUCAAAGGUUAGCUCAGCACGGACGGAAACCGUGCCUCUGAGUGUAAACGCAAAAGCUAGCCUAACUGCGAGGGUGACGGCCCGAGCAGUAACGAAAGUUGGAGUUAGUGAUCCGGCGGUAUGUGAAUGGAAAUGCCGUCGCUCAACGGAUAAAAGCUACCCUGGGGAUAACAGGCUGAUCUCCCCCAAGCGUCCACAGCGACGGGGAGGUUUGGCACCUCGAUGUCGGCUCGUCACAUCCUGGGGCUGAAUUCGGUCCCAAGGGUUCGGCUGUUCGCCGAUUAAAGUGGCACGCGAGCUGGGUUCAGAACGUCGUGAGACAGUUCGGUCCCUAUCUGUUGCGGGCGUAAGAGAUUUGAAGGGAGCUGUCCUUAGUACGAGAGGACCGGGAUGGACGUACCUCUGGUGCACCAGUUGUCCUGCCAAGGGCAUAGCUGGGUAGCUAUGUACGGACGAGAUAAACGCUGAAGGCAUCUAAGCGUGAAACUCCCCCUAAGAUUAGAUCUCUCAUUCGAAAGAAGUAAGGCACGACGUAGACUAUGUCGUUGAUAGGCCGGAGGUGGAAGCACGGUAACGUGUGCAGCUGACCGGUACUAAUAAGCCGAGGGCUUGACCU